GUAGCCUUGCGCUUUCGAGGUUCUUCGGCGCGUGCCGAAGCUAAGAAGGGAACGCGGUUCAAGCCGCGGCUGCCCCCGCAACUGUGAACGGUGAUGUUUACUGCCACGCCACUGUCAGCGCUGUCGAAGGCGCUAGCGGGAAGGCGCAGCGAAUGCCAGGCCUAAGGCCUGAACACCGUCAGCCAGGAGACCUGCCUCGAACAGUUUCCGACA
rnacentral:ncRNA from 2 species